rnacentral:rRNA from 1 species
CCUACGGGGGGCUGCAGUGAGGAAUAUUGGUCAAUGGCCGAGAGGCUGAACCAGCCAAGUCGCGUGAGGGAAGACGGCCCUACGGGUUGUAAACCUCUUUUGUCGGGGAGCAAAGCGAACCACGUGUGGUUCAUUGAGAGUACCCGAAGAAAAAGCAUCGGCUAACUCGGUGCCAGCAGCCGCGGUAAUACGGAGGAUGCGAGCGUUAUCCGGAUUUCUGGGGUUUAAAGGGUGCGCAGGCGGGGGUGAACAUCAGCGGUCAAAUUGCGGGGCGCAACCCCGUACUGCCGUUGAAACUGCAUGCCUUGAGUGCGCGAGAAGUAUGCGGAAUGCGUGGUGUAGCGGUGAAAUGCAUAGAUAUCACGCAGAACUCCGAUUGCGAAGGCAGCAUACCGGCGCGCAACUGACGCUCAUGCACGAAAGCGUGGGUAUCGAACAGGAUUAGAUACCCGUGUAGUC